rnacentral:rRNA from 1 species
GACAGAGGGUGCAAACGUUGCUCGGAAUUACUGGGCGUAAAGGGCGUGUAGGCGGGCAGGUAAGUCGGGCGUGAAAUCCCUGGGCUCAACCCAGGAACUGCACUCGAAACUACUUGCCUUGAGUGCCGGAGAGGAAAGCGGAAUUCCUGGUGUAGAGGUGAAAUUCGUAGAUAUCAGGAGGAACACCAGUGGCGAAGGCGGCUUUCUGGACGGUA